CACACCAAGAUGACAAUAGGUCGGCGGCCUUAACGGGUGGUCGCCCACACUUGGAAGGAGAUACGGCCCAGACAUCGUACGGGAGGCAGCAGUCGAGAUUAGUCUACAAUGGUCAGAAGGGAAAUAGUGGCACGGGGCGGAAGCGAGGAACCCCUUCGGGGUGUAAAGUUCUAUUACAUGUGAGCAGUGGGUUUUACGUUAAUAGGGUGGAAUCAGGGAUAUUAGCAUAUGAAUAAGCAACGGCUAACUCCGUGCCAGCAGCCGCGGUAACACGGGGGUUGCAAGCGUUGUCCGGAAUUACUAGGCGUAAAGGGCAGGUAGGCGGAUCUAUAAGUUUUUUGUCAAAUUCCACGGCUCACCCGUUGCGCGGCAGGAGAUACUGUAGAUCUGGAAUGAGGGAGGGGAAGACAGAAUUCCUGGUGUAGCGGUGGAAUGCGCAGAGAUCAGGAGGAACACCUAAGGCGAAGGCAGUCUUCUAAGCAUCAAUUGACGCUAAUGCGCGAAGGUGUGGGUAUCAAACAGGAUUAGAUACCCUGGUAGUCCACACAGAAACGAUAAUCACAGGG
rnacentral:rRNA from 1 species